UAUAUGAUACUCGCUUUGUAUAGAGCGUUGCACAAGAGCACACAUUCACAUACACAUGCGCACAUGGAUGACCAGCGCAAGUGAUUGCGGCAGCGAGACACCUGCCCGGAGUGGGCGUAUCCACGCCUUUUUUGUCGAAGUUUGUUGCACCGCGGCGCAAAUGUUGCUGGAAGUCAGUGGGAGGGGGAGGAAGAGGGGACACUCUGUGGAUCGUCGAAGGGUGAUGCUUACCGCGGAGGCUGCCUUCCAUUAGUGGAUCGCUUCGCAGAAAAUAAGCCCUAGAUUGUUUACUGUGAGCGAGGUGUGGCAGUUGUGUGCGCUGCUGCGGGAAGGACUGCGCGCUUUUUCACACUUGCCUUCGUUGCUGAGUUUCUUUGUCACGGGGGAAGAGGGGAGAGUGCCCCGCUAACACGGAUAUGGAGAGAGCUAAGAGUCGUGGCACACUUUUUUGUGUUCGGGUGUGUAGCGUUCAAAGGGCGGUGACAGAGACGAUGAUCAACCGAUUUAUGCGUUCUGUUUGAGCUGAUUUCAUUCACUGAAGCAUCACAUUGACCUUUUUAUGGUCUACCUCUACUGAUCUGCCGUUUGGUCGGACGCUGUGUGCGUGCACUUGUCCCUGCUGGCGCCUCUUAAGUGUUCGAAGGAGUUGUGACAACGCUAUGUAGUGACGGCAUUUCUGCCAAGAGUACGUCCGCGCAGCGGAGUCACUGUGCCUCUGGCUCAGCCUUCCGCACAACGCGGUUCUCGCCGAGAUGCACGCGUCUUCAGCCUCCGCCUCUUCAGAGGCCUCGGCGUACCGCGGCUGGGCUGUUAUGAUUCGAAUCUAUCCAUGCUUUCCGUGACUUCACCCCUCAUGAGCAUACACAGAUACACCAUUGUCAUAGUUACAAUGAACACCUUUUUUUUUUCGCGCUGGUGAGGAAGUGUAGAGGAGGCCGUGCGCGGAAGCUUGCUUCCCUCCCCCUCUUCCCUGUCCUCGCUGGGUCGCGGAUCGCUUUGGAGGAAUGCUGUGCGUGUGCGCACACGCGCCUGUGCUUUCUGGGUGGAUGCGGUGCCAGACUGAGAGAGCGGGAGCGUUUCGCUCGUUGCCGUGGUGUGGACGAUGCCUUUAGGUCCUUCGCCGUGUUCUUUCCGCACACGGCAAAGUUAUUCUGCGGCAUCUAGAUUUUCUGUGCGUGUGUGCGUGUAUGUGCGUGCAGUGCCACGACAGGUUUUUUUUGCUGUACUGCGCACCCCUUCGCGCAGCGGCUGGGCUGUUAUGAUUCGAAUCUAUCCAUGCUUUCCGUGACUUCACCCCUCAUGAGCAUACACAGAUACACCAUUGUCAUAGUUACAAUGAACACCUUUUUUUUUUCGCGCUGGUGAGGAAGUGUAGAGGAGGCCGUGCGCGGAAGCUUGCUUCCCUCCCCCUCUUCCCUGUCCUCGCUGGGUCGCGGAUCGCUUUGGAGGAAUGCUGUGCGUGUGCGCACACGCGCCUGUGCUUUCUGGGUGGAUGCGGUGCCAGACUGAGAGAGCGGGAGCGUUUCGCUCGUUGCCGUGGUGUGGACGAUGCCUUUAGGUCCUUCGCCGUGUUCUUUCCGCACACGGCAAAGUUAUUCUGCGGCAUCUAGAUUUUCUGUGCGUGUGUGCGUGUAUGUGCGUGCAGUGCCACGACAGGUUUUUUUUGCUGUACUGCGCAUCCCUUCGCGCGGCGGCUGGGCUGUUAUGAUUCGAAUCUAUCCAUGCUUUCCGUGACUUCACCCCUCAUGAGCAUACACAGAUACACCAUUGUCAUAGUUACAAUGAACCGCGUAUGUUCCCUCGAAGGUUGUAGAAAGUUGUGAGCCGUGACACAGUUGAAUCACGCCCAAGGUCUUGCCGUAGACGGAUGCGGUGAGAUGUGGUGCAAGCCACCUAGCACCACUGUCUUCGCAAUAGACCCCCCAAAACAGUACCGGCAACGGAGCAGAGUAGUAAGAAGGCGAAGACAUCCCAGUUUAAAGACCGGUGACGGUAUGCUUUGCGAAUGCAGUCGCGAGCUGACGCAGGAUGACUCAGUAAGCUACAGAGUACGUCUGACACGUCAGCGCUUUUUUUUUGCGGUGCCAGCGCAUUAUGUCCGCCUCGUCUC
rnacentral:misc_RNA from 1 species